AUCGCUUCUCGGCCUUUUGGCUAAGAUCAAGUGUAGUAUCUGUUCUUAUCAGUGUGUGCGCUUCAGUUUAAUUGAGAAUGUUGGAGAAGUGCCAAAGAUGUCCAGGCUGGAUUUCUCCAGGAAAUUGAUUCAACAGGUGUUGGGAUUUUCACCAAAUGACUUGAAUUGCAU
ensembl:snRNA U2 U2 spliceosomal RNA